UACGGGGGGGCAAGCGUUGUUCGGAGUUACUGGGCGUAAAGGGCGUGCAGGCGGUCUGUUAAGUUCGGCGUGAAAGCGCCUGGCUAAACCGGGCGAGGUCGUCGGAGACUGGCAGACUAGAGGGUGAUAGAGGCGGGUGGAAUUCCGGGUGUAGUGGUGAAAUGCGUAGAGAUCCGGAGGAACACCAGUGGCGAAGGCGACCCGCUGGGUCACACCUGACGCUGAGACGCGGACAGCAUG
rnacentral:rRNA from 1 species